UACGGAGGGGGCAAGCGUUGUUCGGAUUUACUGGGCGUAAAGGGAGUGUAGGCGGCCGAUCAAGUCUGAUGUGAAAGCCUUACCGCUUACCGGAAGGAGGUCAUCAGAAACUGGUUGGCUAGAGUAAGGUAGAGGCGAGCGGAAUUCCUGGUGUAGCGGUGGAAUGUGUAGAUAUCAGGAAGAACAUCGGUGGCGAAGGCGGCUCGCUGGGCCUUUACUGACGCUGAGACUCGAAAGCGUGGGGAGCAAA
rnacentral:rRNA from 1 species